rnacentral:rRNA from 1 species
GGCGAACGCUGGCGGCGUGCUUAACACAUGCAAGUCGAACGGAGAGGCCCUGCUUUUGUGGGGUGCUCGAGUGGCGAACGGGUGAGUAACACGUGAGUAACCUGCCCUUGACUUUGGGAUAACUUCAGGAAACUGGGGCUAAUACCGGAUAGGAGCUCCUGCUGCAUGGUGGGGGUUGGAAAGUUUCGGCGGUUGGGGAUGGACUCGCGGCUUAUCAGCUUGUUGGUGGGGUAGUGGCUUACCAAGGCUUUGACGGGUAGCCGGCCUGAGAGGGUGACCGGCCACAUUGGGACUGAGAUACGGCCCAGACUCCUACGGGAGGCAGCAGUGGGGAAUAUUGCACAAUGGGCGGAAGCCUGAUGCAGCAACGCCGCGUGCGGGAUGACGGCCUUCGGGUUGUAAACCGCUUUCGCCUGUGACGAAGCGUGAGUGACGGUAAUGGGUAAAGAAGCACCGGCUAACUACGUG